rnacentral:lncRNA from 1 species
AGACUCUCCUGCCUCAGCCUCCCAAGUGGCUGGGAUUACGGACCUGACCUAAUGAUUGGAGAGAGGAAGCAGGAUGUUGAGCGAGGGAAGCUGAAUUUCUCCUGCACUGGAGCCUGGCUGCAGAACCUGAGGAAGUAGGAGGGAUGAAGAAGCAAGAAAGCUUCCAGCAACCUUUAGUCAGCCUCAAGAAGUCUCCGGCUAGGAGGCAAUGCUAAACCAGGACAACCUAGAGAUACCCUGGCUGGCCAGGGCUUCCUAAAAAAGACGUGUUGCUGGGUGGUUGCGUUGCCUUAAGAACACACCCAUUACCCAGUGAAUCUGCCGUGAGUCAGAGAGACGCCCCUGAAGACACAUUACCUGGAGGAGAUAAGCUCCCCAGCCUCCCCCACAGCCAUUCCCCAGUCUCUUCUCUUCAGCUUCUUCAUUUCUCCUCCUUCCAGUCUGGCCACUGGCUCAGGCCACAGCGGACACCCUGUUCACAGCCUGCAUCACCCUCCUGAGACAGAACCUUCUCCAAGUGUUUGCCUUUGGGCAGGUCCCAAGGUACCACCUGGAGCUGCUGGAAAGGGUAGUCCUGACAGCAACCCCCUGGUGAUCCGGUCCUUGCUAGCUCCUCCCCCGGCCUCCCUGUAAUGCUGGGUGCAGAGGGAUGCACCAGGGAGCUGCGUGUAAGUGGUGAACAGGAGAGCGUCUGGGUGACUGAACGGGGAGAAGGGAGGGGAAAGGAUGGGAGAGGCUGAAGCAAACAUCUUUGAGGAAAACGGGUAAUGACGGAGCUGGUAGACAAUGGUGAGAGAAGGAAGGGUGACACUGAAAGUAGUCAUGCUCCUUUUUAUUUAAUUGAGAUCUUCUUUUUCUCUUUUUGCCAAUUAAUAAUAUGUUUUGGUCUGGGGGAUGCUUGGGAAGGCCCCAUUGUUCAAAAUAUCUCUUUCAGGAACCUGGAACACCACCAUUUGAGACUCACUUCUUUAGGUCUUGAGGGCUUUUUGGUCUUUGAGAUGCUUUUGUGUAAAGUUAAUGCACCUCCAGUGCCCUCUGAACAAAGGCCGGUGAACGUGGA